CGCAUUCCUGGGCCGGCUGGGCGCGGCUGGGCAGGCGGCUCGAAUUUGACCCGAGCGGGCCGCGAUCGGCCAACGAUUUGCGGUACCCUUUGACCCAGGCGGGGCGCGAUCCGCCUAGGAUUUGGGGUCCCUUGGCGCCGAACCCUGAGUUGCCAGAUUUAGCAAGUAAAAGUACAGUUCUUCUAAAUUUGAAUUUCAGACAAGACAGGUUUUAGGGUUCAUCUCAUGUAAUGUUGAGAAGGAUUUCUCUCAUCUACCCUUCUUUGGGAGAUACGACUAAAACCAACAAAAGCCAAAUUUGGUAAAUAAGAAGUUUAAACAAGUGCUUCUCUGUACAGCUCAUCCACUUCCUCAUCCGUAAACCGAUCCCCCAUGGUUGUCAGCAGCUCUCUCAAGUAAUCUUCCUGAAUGGUGCCUGGAGAAUAAAGAACAAGGGAUCAGAAUACAUACUAUUCUGAGGGUUAAUUACAAAGAAUAUCUAUACUUGACUAAGCAUGUUCUGUAUGUUACAAACUAUAAACAUGCAAAUAUAUGAACUGCAGGGUGUCCACCUACUUAAAACAGCCUCAGCAGAGAAGUGCCUAGAAAAAUGCCUAGCUGCUUAGCAGCAUUGCUCUGCUCUAUCAUUUGCUCUAUCAUUCUGCCUCCAUAUUCAGCUUCUGAUCUCUUGAUAAGAGAGACUAAACCUAUGCCUAAACAAAGUAAUAAAAAGUAUGGUUAAAG
rnacentral:antisense_RNA from 1 species